rnacentral:lncRNA from 1 species
AAACAUCUGUUUUGUAAAUAUGAUGUGAAAGAAAAGAAAAAAUAGAGAAAAUGAAAAUGAAUGCUUGCUUGGAAGAAAAAUAGUGAAAAACAAAAAUUGAGUGGUGAAAUAAGAGUUGUGAAGGUUUCAAAUGAGAAAUAAAUGGAACGAAGUUGAGAUGUGUGAAUAAUGUACAGUGAAUGUCUCUUUUGCAUCGGCAAUUUCGUUUUCAAUGGCCUUAGAAAUGACCCUUGUUUGUUAACCUAACCAAGCUUCAACCGAAAAGUCCUUAGUGAUCUUCGUGCUUCCACAUUACCAUUUAUAAUUGUUAGACAUUGUAUGAAUUGAAUUGAUU